CUCUUUGAGCUUUCCGAAAAGGUAUCACAUGCCAAGUUUGGCCUGACGUUAUAAAAGUUAUAGAGUCAUAAAGUUUUAACCAAAAAAAAACAAAUUAAAAAAAAAGAGGGAUGCAACACGAGGAGUUUCCGGGAGGUCACCCAUCCUAGUACUACUCUCGCCCAAGCCCGCUUAACUGCGGAGUUUUGAUGGGAUCCGGUGUAUUAGUGCUGGUAUGAUCGCAUCUGUUAGUUUAUGUAAUGCAAUCGUAUAUAUUCUUUUU
rnacentral:sRNA from 1 species